ACCUGGGUGGCUCAGUUGGUUAAGCGUCUGACUUCAGCUCAGGUCAUGAACUCACGGUUUGUGGGUUCAAGCCCUGCAUCAGGCU
rnacentral:tRNA from 1 species